rnacentral:rRNA from 1 species
UACGGGAGGCAGCAGGGGGAAUAUUGCACAAUGGGCGCAAGCCUGAUGCAGCCAUGCCGCGUGUAUGAAAAAGGCCUUCGGGUUGUAAAGUACUUUCAGUCGUGAGGAAGGUGUUAAGGUUAAUAACCUUAGCAAUUGACGUUAGCGACAGAAGAAGCACCGGCUAACUCCGUGCCAGCAGCCGCGGUAAUACGGAGGGUGCGAGCGUUAAUCGGAAUUACUGGGCGUAAAGGGCACGCAGGCGGUUAAUUAAGUUGGAUGUGAAAUCCCCGGGCUUAACCUGGGAAUGGCAUUCAAGACUGGUUAGCUAGAGUCUUGUAGAGGGGGUAGAAUUCCAUGUGUAGCGGUGAAAUGCGUAGAGAUGUGGAGGAAUACCGGUGGCGAAGGCGGCCCCUGGACAAAGACUGACGCUCAUGUGCGAAAGCGUGGGGAGCAAACAGGGAUUAGAUACCCGU